GGUGGACCCUGUGGUAUCUAUAUUUAGGUGAUAUCUGUUGUUCUAAUCAUGCCUGUUAUGAUAAUGAUGAAAAGUAUUUUGUACAGACCAAGAAAUGGCGCCGAUUAUUAGGCUUAAUUGCCAAUGCAAAAACUGCAGGAUUUUAUGGUUUUUGUUUAUGAUGUUGACUAGAAAAAUGAAAAAUAUCAUC